rnacentral:rRNA from 1 species
CACGCCGUAAACGAUGAGCACUAGGUGUCGGGGCCGCAAGGCUUCGGUGCCGCAGUUAACGCAUUAAGUGCUCCGCCUGGGGAGUACGUACGCAAGUAUGAAACUCAAAGGAAUUGACGGGGACCCGCACAAGCAGCGGAGCAUGUGGUUUAAUUCGAAGCAACGCGAAGAACCUUACCAGGGCUUGACAUCCCUCUGACCGGCGUGUAACGGCGCCUUCCCUUCGGGGCAGAGGAGACAGGUGG